CAUGUGCCCGCGCUAUCAGAGGGGAGGUCACCCAUCCGGGAUGUGGCGCGCUCGACCCGCUUGACCUGGUGAAGUCCCUUCCUGCGACUUGCUCCCCGGGUCCGUCUUUCGCAGAACUGUUCACAUUCAGGUCAUCAGGGGCUGCAAGAUGAGAGGGCUCCGAUUCCACAAUAGAGUUCUUCUCUUAGCUCCAGCCAAAAAUCUAGGAGAAGGCGGACGGGAUAACCAGAGAAGUAAACAACAAUGUAACAUGGAGGUGGUAGUGCAGCUUCAACACAAUAAUUUGUUUUUAUGUGGAGAACGCCACCAUAACCAGUAAAGAUAUGGAGAUGUACUCACCGGCACUGCACACAGGUAAAGAAGACAGUUUGACCCUCAUCUGCUGAGCGCAUCUGCCUUGUGUGAUAGACCAUCUUCUCACACCCACAGCGGGAGCAGCGUCUAUCAAGCUGAGAGAGACGCAUAACAUAUGUCGAUAAAUGGAAAUCAUCCUCAGAAAAUCAUGGAAGGGGAGAUUAAAUUCAAUGUAACGAA